CCCUCACCUGAAUCACAGGUGCUGCGGGUAAGAUGGCGGAGAGGCGAGUUUGUGCUUCUGUUUUUAUUUUUUGGUUUUUAUUUAUUUAUUUAUUUUUCUUUCCCUGCUGGAUAACCUAUGGAGAAUGUAGAGCGUUUGUUUUCCUAAUCCAAAUGCGGGACUAUUAAUUGCUAUUUCUCUGUUUGGGGGGGGGAAAGGUGAAUCCGGCGUUUUAAAGGAUCUCUUAUCAUGUACCGGUGAACCUGGAGUCUGGUCUCCAAGUAACCACACUUCAAUAUGGUGUACGAUCAUUACGCUACUACGCAUGGUGGUGUUGCUCUGGGUCCAGCGUUUGCUUAUACCUGCCGACGCUACUGAUUAAGUUUAAAUGGAAAACGAUGUUGCUGUUGCUCUGGGUUCAUUCGCCAUGCUGUUCCAGCUUCUCGUUGACGGUAUCCGUUGCCAUGGUGAUGAGGAGGAGUAAUGUAAUGUCUUGUUGAUUUAAACAAUAUUUGUAUAUUUUAUAAUCCUGUUGACGUUGUUUUAUAUUCUAGUAAAUACAGCCUAAUUGCUACAGCAGUAUUUGUGCAAUUGUAAUAACACGCUGUCGUUGCUAAUGUUUGCAAGUGUUACAUUUACAGUAUGCCUCAUUUGUUUCCUUAUAUGUUUCUGUCAAUUGAUUCAAUAAA